rnacentral:rRNA from 1 species
GAUGAACGCCGGCGGUGUGCCUAAUACAUGCAAGUCGUACGCACUGGCCCAACUGAUUGAUGGUGCUUGCACCUGAUUGACGAUGGAUCACCAGUGAGUGGCGGACGGGUGAGUAACACGUAGGCAACCUGCCCCGGAGCGGGGGAUAACAUUUGGAAACAGAUGCUAAUACCGCAUAACAACAAAAGUCACAUGGCUUUUGUUUGAAAGAUGGCUUUGGCUAUCACUCUGGGAUGGACCUGCGGUGCAUUAGCUAGUUGGUAAGGUAACGGCUUACCAAGGCGAUGAUGCAUAGCCGAGUUGAGAGACUGGAUCGGCCACAAUGGGAACUGAGACACGGUCCAUACUCCUACGGGAGGCAGCAGUAGGGAAUCUUCCACAAUGGGCGCAAGCCUGAUGGAGCAACACCGACGUGAGUGAAGAACGGGUUUCGGC